UACAGAGGCCUCGAGCGUUAGGCGGAAUCACUGGGCUUAAAGCGUGUGUAGGCGGAUUGGUAAGUACCUUGUGAAAUCCCACAGCUUAACUGUGGAACUGCUCGGUAUACUGCUGAUCUUGAGCCACUCGGGGGCUACCGGAACAAAUGGUGGAGCGGUGAAAUGCGUAGAUAUCAUUUGGAACGCCAAUGGUGAAAACAGGUAGCUGGGGGGUGUGCUGACGCUGGAGACACGAAAGCCAGGGGAGCAAACGGGG
rnacentral:rRNA from 1 species